UGUGGGAGGGGGCUUGCUCCCGAUAGCCUUGGCUCAGUCACUGAUGGGUUGACUGAAUGCCAUCGGGAGCAAGCCCCCUCCCACA
rnacentral:misc_RNA from 1 species